GACGAACGCUGGCGGCGUGCUUAACACAUGCAAGUCGAACGAGUGGGAACGGGUGAGUAACACGUGGGUAACCUCCCAUCAGAGGGGAUAACAAUUGGAAACAGGUGCUAAACCGAUACCGAUGGCGGGACACGCGGUGCAUUAGCUAGUUGGUGAGGUAACGGCUCACCAGGGCCACGAUCCAUAGCCUCCCUGAGAGGGUGAUCGGCCACACUGGGACUGAGACACGGCCCAGACUCCUACGGGAGGCAGCAGUAGGGAAUCUUCGGCAAUGGACGAAAGUCUGACCGAGCAACGCCGCGUGAGUGAAGAAGGUUUUCGGAUCGUAAAACUCUGUUGUUAGAGAAGCGGUAUCUAACCAGAAAGCCACGGCUAACUACGUGCCAGCAGCCGCGGUAAUUC
rnacentral:rRNA from 1 species